rnacentral:rRNA from 1 species
AACGAACGCUGGCGGCAGGCUUAACACAUGCAAGUCGAACGCAUCCUUCGGGGUGAGUGGCAGACGGGUGAGUAACGCGUGGGAACGUGCCCUUCAGUUCGGGAUAACCCAGGGAAACUUGGGCUAAUACCGGAUACGUGCGAGAGCAGAAAGAUUUAUCGCUGAAGGAUCGGCCCGCGUCUGAUUAGCUAGUUGGUGGGGUAAUGGCCCACCAAGGCGACGAUCAGUAGCUGGUCUGAGAGGAUGAUCAGCCACAUUGGGACUGAGACACGGCCCAAACUCCUACGGGAGGCAGCAGUGGGGAAUAUUGGACAAUGGGCGCAAGCCUGAUCCAGCCAUGCCGCGUGAGUGAUGAAGGCCUUAGGGUUGUAAAGCUCUUUCGCCGGUGAGGAUAAUGACGGUAACCGGAGAAGAAGCCCCGGCUAACUUCGUGCCAGCAGCCGCCGUAA